GGAGGGCAGGGCUGGGGAUUAGAAAGGGUGGGCUUUAGAAGACUAGCAGGUAGCCGCUUCAUUUCUCCUAAGGUUCCUCGACUUGCUCCCUAUAACCAGCUCCAGCCUGGAGGAUUCCUGACUCGCCAUGGAGUCCACUCUGAGCGCCGGCAUCAUGAUGGCUGAAGCACUACAAAACCAGCUUCCCGGGCUAGAGAAUAUGUGGCUCUGGGUCACCUUUCUGGCCGAUCCCAAGAACCUCUUUCAGUUCUACUUCCCCGCGGUCUACUACGCCUCCCGCCGCCUGGGCAUCUCCCUGUUCUGGAUCGCCUUCAUUACUGAGUGGCUCAACCUCGUCUUCAAGUGGUGAGACAGAGAACCCUUCGGGCAUCCUGGUCCCCUAUCCCUUUGGGGCCCUAAUCUCCCUCAAGUUUCUGUUUGGAGACAGGCCCUUCUGGUGGGUGCAUGAAUCCGGGUACUCCGCCCAGACUCCAGUCCAGAUUCACCAGUUCCCUUCUUCUUGUGAGACUGGUCCAGGUGGGAAAAGUUCCAACUUCCUCCCAUCCCUGGUGUGGUUAAGGUCCAGGCAGCCCCUCUGGUCACUGCAUGAUCACAGGCGCAGCUUUGUGGCCCGUAAUGAUAGCCAUUUCAUCUCAGGUGGCCUCUCAGACCCGCAGCCCCUGGGUGAGGGUGAUUCCUGGCCUGGCCUACUGCACCUUCCUAUUGGCAGUCGGCCUGUCUCGGGUCUUCCUCUUAGCACAUUUCCCUCACCAAGUGU
rnacentral:lncRNA from 1 species